UACGUAGGGUGCGAGCGUUGUCCGGAAUUACUGGGCGUAAAGAGCUCGUAGGUGGUUUGUCGCGUUGUUCGUGAAAACUCACAGCUUAACUGUGGGCGUGCGGGCGAUACGGGCAGACUGGAGUACUGCAGGGGAGACUGGAAUUCCUGGUGUAGCGGUGAAAUGCGCAGAUAUCAGGAGGAACACCGAUGGCGAAGGCAGGUCUCUGGGCAUUAACUGACGCUGAGGAGCGAAAGCCAGGGGAGCAAACGGG
rnacentral:rRNA from 1 species